GAUGAAGAACGUAGCGAAAUGCGAUAAUUAAUGUGAAUUGCAGAAUUUAGUGAAUCAUCGAGUCUUUGAACGCACAUUGCGCCCCCUGGUAUUCCGGGGGGCAUGCCUGUCCGAGCGUCAUUGCUGCCCUCAAGCACGGCUUGUGUGUUGGGCCUCCGUCCUCCUCCCGGGGGACGGGCCCGAAAGGCAGCGGCGGCACCGCGUCCGGUCCUCGAGCGUAUGGGGCUUCGUCACCCGCUCUUGUAGGCCCGGUCGGCGCUUGCCGACACAUCAAUCUUUUUUCCAGGUUGACCUCGGAUCAGGUAGGGAUACCCGCUGAACUUAAGCAUAUCAAUAAGCGGAGGA
rnacentral:misc_RNA from 1 species